rnacentral:rRNA from 1 species
UACGGGGGGGGGCAAGCGUUGUUCGGAAUUACUGGGCGUAAAGGGCGUGUAGGCGGCCAACUAAGUCCGACGUGAAAUCCCCAGGCUUAACCUGGGAACUGCGUCGGAUACUGGAUGGCUUGAAUUCGGGAGAGGGAUGCAGAAUUCCAGGUGUAGCGGUGAAAUGCGUAGAUAUCUGGAGGAAUACCGGUGGCGAAGGCGGCAUCCUGGACCGACAUUGACGCUGAAGCGCGAAAGCUAGGGGAGCAAACGGG